UCGGCCUGUUUGUGCGGCGUCACUUCCGGCAAUGUGCAUCAGUCGUCAACAACAUGAAGCUGAGGAGAAACGCUGAUAUGCAGAAGAUCGACAAUGUUUAUUUGUGGUGUUCAGCACAACUAUUUGAAGCCAUAGAAGCACAUGUCAAAUAACAUUAUUGCCAUGAACAUAUGAGGAGGAAGCUCUAAAGACCCACACAUUUCAAAGUGUUUACAUCAGCAUGUUAUGUACUGGGAUAAGAUGCUCGUCAACCUCAAUGCAUGGUUUAUAUUGCGUCCUGUCAUCUUGCCUGUGGUAGUGUGGUCAUGGAGGUGUAGCAAUGGUAGCACUGAACUCGUACAGCCCAUCUCGACCCAAUUGAAGCCUCUUCCAGAAGUUCCUUAUAGAAAUGCACAAAGAACAUUGAAUGAAAUUUGUCUGACGACUCAUUUUCCACCAGAGGACAAUCAAACACACAAAGUGGCAAUCUACAACUGUGCAGUAUUCAGUUUUAUAGGAAUGAUGGAUUUGAUGAUGCAGUGUAUAGAAAUCUCUAUGAAGGGGUGACGAGGUUUACAGAAUUGACUAUUUGCAGGAUUACUUGGUUGCCUGACAGUUACCCAUCAUUGUGUGUUUGUAAAUAUUGGUAGCUACAAUUAUGAUAUGGUGAUAUCCGUUGGGAUGAUGUUGGCGUGGUAUCUUCCUCACUAAGCAAAAGACAUCUAAGCUAUUUUUCACGUCUGAAACUUACAUGUCAAGCAACAUUCCAAAGUUUGAACACUCGCGUGUGAUGUACUGGAGCACUCAAAUCGUACCAGA